CCUACGGGAGGCAGCAGUGAGGAAUAUUGGUCAAUGGACGAGAGUCUGAACCAGCCAAGUAGCGUGAAGGAUGACUGCCCUAUGGGUUGUAAACUUCUUUUAUAAAGGAAUAAAACGAGGCACGUGUGCCUUUUUGCAUGUACUUUAUGAAUAAGCCUCGGCUAACUACGUGCCAGCAGCCGCGGUAAUACGUAGGAGGCAAGCGUUAUCCGGAAUGACUGGGCGUAAAGGGUGCGUAGGUGGUUUGACAAGUUGGUAGCGUAACUCCGGAGCACAACUUCGGAACUACUACCAAAACUGUUGGACUCGAGUGCAGGAGGGGCAACUGGAAUUUGUAGUGUAGCGGUGGAAUGCGUAGAUAUUAGGAAGAACACCGGUGGCGAAGGCGAGUUGCUGGACUGUAACUGACACUGAGGCACGAAAGCGUGGGGAGCAAACAGGAUUAGAUACCCGAGUAGUC
rnacentral:rRNA from 1 species